UUAAGCGACCAAGCGUACACGGUGGAUGCCCUGGCAGUCAGAGGCGAUGAAGGACGUGCUAAUCUGCGAAAAGCGCCGGUAAGGUGAUAUGAACCGUUAUAACCGGCGAUGUCCGAAUGGGGAAACCCAGUGUGACUCGUCACACUAUCAUUAACUGAAUCCAUAGGUUAAUGAGGCGAACCGGGGGAACUGAAACAUCUAAGUACCCCGAGGAAAAGAAAUCAACCGAGAUUCCCCCAGUAGCGGCGAGCGAACGGGGAGGAGCCCAGAGCCUGAAUCAGCAUGUGUGUUAGUGGAAGCGUCUGGAAAGGCGCGCGAUACAGGGUGACAGCCCCGUACACAAAAGCGCAUGUGCUGUGAGCUCGAUGAGUAGGGCGGGACACGUGGUAUCCUGUCUGAAUAUGGGGGGACCAUCCUCCAAGGCUAAAUACUCCUGACUGACCGAUAGUGAACCAGUACCGUGAGGGAAAGGCGAAAAGAACCCCGGCGAGGGGAGUGAAAAAGAACCUGAAACCGUGUACGUACAAGCAGUGGGAGCACAGGUUUACCUGUGUGACUGCGUACCUUUUGUAUAAUGGGUCAGCGACUUAUAUUCUGUAGCAAGGUUAACCGUAUAGGGGAGCCGGAGGGAAACCGAGUCUUAAUUGGGCGUUAAGUUGCAGGGUAUAGACCCGAAACCCGGUGAUCUAGCCAUGGGCAGGUUGAAGGUUGGGUAACACUAACUGGAGGACCGAACCGACUAAUGUUGAAAAAUUAGCGGAUGACCUGUGGCUGGGGGUGAAAGGCCAAUCAAACCGGGAGAUAGCUGGUUCUCCCCGAAAGCUAUUUAGGUAGCGCCUCGUGAAUUCAUCUCCGGGGGUAGAGCACUGUUUCGGCCAGGGGGCCAUCCCGGCUUACCAACCCGAUGCAAACUGCGAAUACCGGAGAAUGUUAUCACGGGAGACACACGGCGGGUGCUAACGUCCGUCGUGAAGAGGGAAACAACCCAGACCGCCAGCUAAGGUCCCAAAGUCAUGGUUAAGUGGGAAACGAUGUGGGAAGGCCCAGACAGCCAGGAUGUUGGCUUAGAAGCAGCCAUCAUUUAAAGAAAGCGUAAUAGCUCACUGGUCGAGUCGGCCUGCGCGGAAGAUGUAACGGGGCUAAACCAUGCACCGAAGCUGCGGCAGCGAACGUAUCACUUAAAGCGAUUCAGCGGAUGACGAUUGACGGAGCGAAGCGACGUCAAAGCGUUUUACAACAUCGAGUCGGUUUAAGGAUACGUUCGUUGGGUAGGGGAGCGUUCUGUAAGCCUGCGAAGGUGUGUCGUGAGGCAUGCUGGAGGUAUCAGAAGUGCGAAUGCUGACAUAAGUAACGAUAAUGCGGGUGAAAAACCCGCACGCCGGAAGACCAAGGGUUCCUGUCCAACGUUAAUCGGGGCAGGGUGAGUCGACCCCUAAGGCGAGGCCGAAAGGCGUAGUCGAUGGGAAACGGGUUAAUAUUCCCGUACCUGGUGUUACUGCGAAGGGGGGACGGAGAAGGCUAUGUUGGCCGGGCGACGGUUGUCCCGGUUUAAGCGUGCAGGCUGGUUUUCCAGGCAAAUCCGGAAAAUCAAGGCUGAGGCGUGACGACGAGGCACUACGGUGCUGAAGCAACAAAUGCCCUGCUUCCAGGAAAAGCCUCUAAGCCUCAGGUAACAUCAGAUCGUACCCGAAACCGACACAGGUGGUCAGGUAGAGAAUACCAAGGCGCUUGAGAGAACCCGGGUGAAGGAACUAGGCAAAAUGGUGCCGUAACUUCGGGAGAAGGCACGCUGACACGUAGGUGAAGCGGUUUACCCGUGGAGCUGAAGUCAGUCGAAGAUACCAGCUGGCUGCAACUGUUUAUUAAAAACACAGCACUGUGCAAACACGAAAGUGGACGUAUACGGUGUGACGCCUGCCCGGUGCCGGAAGGUUAAUUGAUGGGGUCAGCGCAAGCGAAGCUCCUGAUCGAAGCCCCGGUAAACGGCGGCCGUAACUAUAACGGUCCUAAGGUAGCGAAAUUCCUUGUCGGGUAAGUUCCGACCUGCACGAAUGGCGUAAUGAUGGCCAGGCUGUCUCCACCCGGGACUCAGUGAAAUUGAACUCGCUGUGAAGAUGCAGUGUACCCGCGGCAAGACGGAAAGACCCCGUGAACCUUUACUAUAGCUUGACACUGAACACUGGUCCUUGAUGUGCAGGAUAGGUGGGAGGCUUUGAAGUGUGGACGCCAGUCUGCAUGGAGCCGUCCUUGAAAUACCACCCUUUAAUGGCUGGUGUUCUAACGUAGACCCGUGAACCGGGUUGCGGACAGUGUCUGGUGGGUAGUUUGACUGGGGCGGUCUCCUCCUAAAGCGUAACGGAGGAGCACGAAGGUUGGCUAAUCCUGGUCGGACAUCAGGAGGUUAGUGCAAUGGCAUAAGCCAGCUUGACUGCGAGCGUGACGGCGCGAGCAGGUGCGAAAGCAGGUCAUAGUGAUCCGGUGGUUCUGAAUGGAAGGGCCAUCGCUCAACGGAUAAAAGGUACUCCGGGGAUAACAGGCUGAUACCGCCCAAGAGUUCAUAUCGACGGCGGUGUUUGGCACCUCGAUGUCGGCUCAUCACAUCCUGGGGCUGAAGUAGGUCCCAAGGGUAUGGCUGUUCGCCAUUUAAAGUGGUACGCGAGCUGGGUUUAGAACGUCGUGAGACAGUUCGGUCCCUAUCUGCCGUGGGCGCUGGAGAACUGAGGGGGGCUGCUCCUAGUACGAGAGGACCGGAGUGGACGCAUCACUGGUGUUCGGGUUGUCAUGCCAAUGGCACUGCCCGGUAGCUAAAUGCGGAAGAGAUAAGUGCUGAAAGCAUCUAAGCACGAAACUUGCCCCGAGAUGAGUUCUCCCUGAGACUACGAGUCUCCUGAAGGAACGUUGAAGACGACGACGUUGAUAGGCCGGGUGUGUAAGCGCAGCGAUGCGUUGAGCUAACCGGUACUAAUGAACCGUGAGGCUUAACCUU
rnacentral:rRNA from 1 species